GAUGAACGCUGGCGGCGUGCCUAAUACAUGCAAGUCGAGCGAAUGGAUUAAGAGCUUGCUCUUAUGAAGUUAGCGGCGGACGGGUGAGUAACACGUGGGUAACCUGCCCAUAAGACUGGGAUAACUCCGGGAAACCGGGGCUAAUACCGGAUAAAAUUUUGAACCGCAUGGUUCGAAAGUGAAAGGCUGCUUAGGCUUUCACUUAUGGAUGGAUCCGGGUCGCAUUAGCUAGUUGGUGAGGUAACGGCUCACCAAGGCAACGAUGCGUAGCCGACCUGAGAGGGUGAUCGGCCACACUGGGACUGAGACACGGCCCAGACUCCUACGGGAGGCAGCAGUAGGGAAUCUUCCGCAAUGGACGAAAGUCUGACGGAGCAACGCCGCGUGAGUGAUGAAGGCUUUCGGGUCGUAAAACUCUGUUGUUAGGGAAGAACAAGUGCUAGUUGAAUAAGCUGGCACCUUGACGGUACCUAACCAGAAAGCCACGGCUAACUACGUGCCAGCCGCCGCGGUAA
rnacentral:rRNA from 1 species